CUUUACAAUAAAUGGUUACCCUGGAAACUCAGGGAAACCCAGGACAAACCCAAAGAAUGAAAUCAUUAUUUAGAACGUCCCUGGCCUACUUUUUCUAAUUCUUGGUUAACACUUUUUGGACAGGCUCUCUGUGGCUGAGGAGGAGGGCCUGAAACUGCACAUGCUUCAUAAACAGAUGACAAGUCCAACUGCAACAGGCAAUGGGCCCUGCUUUGAACUUCACCAAGAGGCUCAUUUAGCUUGAACGCCGUACCAGAUACUGCAGGCAUUCCCUUUGGGCUGAGCCGUUGGAUUUGAAUGUUGUUUCUGGAAACAGAGGAGAGACCACGUGAGGACAGAGCAAGAACACAGUCAUCCAUGAGCAAGAAAGAAAGCUCUCACCAGAGACCAACCCUGACAGCACCUUGAUCAUGGACUUCUAGUCUCCAGAACUGUAAGAAAAGAAAUUGGUGUUGUUUAAGCCACCCAGUAGGAUGUAGUAUUUGGUUGUGACAGCCCUGGCAGAUUAAUUCAAAGAGGGAAGGAAGCAAAUGUUAAUGAGUUCAUUCUGACUUAUCUCUAACGCUGAACUCAGUUUUAUUUUUGUCCUAGUGCUGUGAACUGAGAUUAUUUAAGCAUUUAUUUACAUGCUUUUGGCAAUCCCCUUUUCCCCAUUUACCAUGUAAACCCCACGAGGAGAGGACUUGCCUAUUUUGGUCCCUGCUAUACUCCCUGGCACAUAGUAAACAGAUAAUGUAUUUACCAAGUGAAUGCAUAAAUGAUGUGGUCGUUUUGGUGCACCUUUAUGAAUGUGAGCAUGGGAGAUUUUCCCCCAAAUAUUAAUAUUUGACCCAGCUGAUCAUUCUCUUCUUCUCAUGGUGCUUUCUACAUUUGGCUUUUAGGAGGCCAUGGGCCCUUGAUUUCCUCUUCUACCUUCAGGGCUGCCCCAUCACCAUCUCCUUUACUAGCUCCCUUAUUUCUAGAUGUAAAGAUUGGAGCUUCAGGUCUCAGUCCUGUGCCCUCAUCUCUUCUGAUAGGAGAUGCAAUAUUAAAUAGUGACUAAAGCAUAGAUUCUGGAACUGGAUUGCCUGGGUUCAAAUUCUGGCUCCACUACUGAAAUAGAAGCAUGAGUUUAGGCAAGUGAAUUAACUUCUCUAUGCCUCAGUAUCCUUAUUUGUGAAAUGGGGAUGGUAGGUAUCUCAUGGCAUUGUUAAAUAAGGGAUAUGUGUAAAACACUUAGAUGGCACCUGGCGUGUAGAAUGCACUUAGCAAAUAUUAGAUGUAAUAAUUUUUAUACUAAUAUCACUUUUUGGUCAACUGUAGUUUCUAGGUGACUUUAUCUAAUCCCAUGGCUCUAAUAGCCUUGAACUGCCUCUGAGCUCCAGGCUCAUAUAGCCAUUACACAUCCAGCUGUGGCAGGCAGGACUCUAAGGUCACCCCAAGCUUCCUGCCCCCUGGUGUACACACCCUGUGUAAUCUCCUCCUCGAGUAUGGGUAGAUUUCAUGACUAUGAUGUCAUAUCACUCCUGUUAUUAGGACACUAAUCGGUUACCUUUGAAGUAAUCAAAAAGGAGAUUAUCUCAAAUGGGCCUGACCUAAUCAGGGGAGCCUUUAAAAGAAGGUGAAGCAUCAACAAGGUGCACUCCUGCUGGCCUGGAAGAAAGUGAACAGCAAUGGUGCUGCUCGCCCAUGGGAGCCACGUGGCGAGGACUGAGAGCAGGCGCUGGGAGCUGAGAGCAGUCCCUGGCUGACAGCCGGCAAGAAAACGGAGGCCUCGGUCCUACAGCUGCAAGGAAAUGGAUUCUGCCAACAACCAGUGAGCUUGGAAGAGGAUCCCAAGCCUCAGAUGAGAAUCACAGCCCUGGCCGCCACCUUGAUUUCAUCCUGCCAUGUUGGCCCAGGCCACCUCCUCCUUCGACCUGGACCCCCAUGACAGCAUCUAACUGCUCUCCCUGUUCCAAGCAGUAACUCCAUCACUGCAGGCACAGU